rnacentral:rRNA from 1 species
GACGAACGCUGGCGGCGUGCCUAACACAUGCAAGUCGAACGGUAAGGCCCUUCGGGGUACACGAGUGGCGAACGGGUGAGUAACACGUGGGUGAUCUGCCCUGCACUUCGGGAUAAGCCUGGGAAACUGGGUCUAAUACCGGAUAGGACCACUGCCUGCAUGGGUGGUGGUGGCAAGCUUUUGCGGUGUGGGAUGGGCCCGCGGCCUAUCAGCUUGUUGGUGGGGUGAUGGCCUACCAAGGCGACGACGGGUAGCCGGCCUGAGAGGGUGACCGGCCACACUGGGACUGAGAUACGGCCCAGACUCCUACGGGAGGCAGCAGUGGGGAAUAUUGCACAAUGGGCGCAAGCCUGAUGCAGCGACGCCGCGUGAGGGAUGACGGCCUUCGGGUUGUAAACCUCUUUCAGCACCGACGAAGCGCAAGUGACGGUAGGUGCAGAAGAAGGACCGGCCAACUACGUGCCAGCCGCCGCGGUAA